UUCAGUGGUUGGCCUUCCAAUGCAGGGGACUCGGGUUUGAUCCCUGGGCAGGGAACUAAGAUCCCAUGUGCUGGGGGACAACCAAGACCUCUUGCUGCGAUUAGAGAGAAGCCCAUGUGCCCCAACAAAGAUUCUACAGGCUGUGACUAAAGCCCGACACAGCCAAAUAGGAUGAAGUGAAAGUAUGAAAAGCAGUGUGAUGUCUGGAUUGCAGAAGCCAUCUAGCAACCAUGAGGCAACACUGAUGCAGCUAAGAAGCCGAAACUACACAUGAGGAACUAGAAAGAGAGAGUUGCCUAGGUCCAUCACAGCAUCAUUAAAUCACUAAACUAAUACCAGCCACUGGAUAUACCUCUGACUUCUUGUUAUGGGAGGAUAAUAAGUCUUUUUGUUUACAUUA